rnacentral:rRNA from 1 species
UACGGAGGAUCCGAGCGUUAUCCGGAUUUAUUGGGUUUAAAGGGUGCGCAGGCGGGAGAUUAAGUCGGCGGUGAAAUUUUGCAGCUCAACUGUAAAAGUGCCUUCGAAACUGGUUUCCUUGAGUGUGGAUGAAGUAGGCGGAAUUUGUGGUGUAGCGGUGAAAUGCAUAGAUAUCACGAGGAACUCCGAUUGCGCAGGCAGCUUACUAAACCAUAACUGACGCUAAGGCACGAAGGCGUGGGGAUCAAACAGGAUUAGAUACCCUGGUAGU